rnacentral:pre_miRNA from 1 species
ACAACAUUCGGACCGUUGGUCUACAGAGUAAUAUCACCCGCUCAAUGGAUUUUUUUCUCUCGGUCUU